CAUCAUGACUGUUGCUCUGAUCUGCUUCUUUUUCCUCUCUCUGCAGAUCUCCAGCAUUCCUGCUGCAGUGAAUCAGUUCACUAGAUCAGCAGGAGAAGAUUUCUCAGGACAUUGUGGCUCUUCUUUCUCUGGAACCAGGAAGAUCUUCUGCAGGGAAAACUGUGGGAACGGAAACGUUCUGAUAGAAACCACAGAGAACUCAGCUGAAAACGGACAAUACAGCAUUGAAUAUGUCAAAGUUCACGGGCCAAACAUUUACAGCUUCUCUGUGAAGAUCUCAGCCCUGACUGAGUCUGACUCGGGUCGGUACAGAUGUGGUUUGGGCCAAUCCUCAGAGUCCUACCAGGAUUUCACUCUCACUGUUUCAGGAGUAGAUAAGAUGUCAACAUCCUCCGUUUCAGUUUCAACUCCUUUAACCUCGACACCAACAGAUUCAUGGAGUCUCAACUUCAGUUCAGGAAGUUUCACACCUUCAGUUUCCUCUGAAACCACCAAUCAGUCGACUGUGAGCCAUGAAGAGGAGGAAACGUCUGACGAAACGUCUGCCUGGUUCCUGCUGGCGGUGGCUCUGACCGGGGCUGGCAUCCUGUUAUCUGCGGCUCUGCUGGUUCUCUGCAGACGGAGGUGUCACAGACUUCUGACAGGUAAACAACAGGAAACACAUUCUGUGGUUCAGGGCCUACAAACCCAGAAGAACAGGGUGAGAGAUCAGCAGGGGGAACCAUGCUGCACUGAAGGCUCGUGGGAACCAGAGCAGCCAUCUGCAGCCAGGCUGUGAAACAUGGAGGUCAGCUGAUUCCUGGACAGGAAGUGAUGUCGAUCGCCUCCCAGCGCUGCCUUCAGGGGAGUCUGGAUGAGCGGGACCGCCUGGUGCAGAGGUCAGGCCCGCGCUGCCACCAUGAGGCGCAGACAUGAGGGUGUGAAAACCACCAGAGGCUCAAACAGAAGAGACCAGAAGGACGAUGAUUGUGGAAAUUCUUCAUCUGGGGAUUUGAUUUACAUGAAUGCAAAACCUGUCUGCAGGAACAAGAAGUAGAUGUGAGACUGAGGAGAUGAGAUGAGACCCGGAUUUAAACCCAGAUUCUGCUUCACGCUCUGAAGCUGCAACCCAAUAAAACCUGGAAAUGUGUCAAACUACCGGCAGAGGAAAGUGAAGGAACGAACACGGAGAGUCAGUGAGAGGGAGGAUUUGGCUCUGGAAGGAUUUGGGGGAAUUGCUUCCAUCACUGUUGCUGCUGCUUCAUUGGGACUAUUUCUAUUUGCUGUUUGUUGAACGUCUUGUUUUCUAUCAGUCGUCUUGCGGUUUUUGGUCCUGAGCAGCUACUGACGAGUCCUGACCGACACAGCAGAACAGCUUCAAGAGGUCAAAGGAACAUGUGGAGACGUCACGCAGUGGGAGAUUACAUGAUCAUCAUAAAAGACAUAUUAACGUUUAAGAUGGCCGACUUUCUGUUUGUGAUUUCUUAUUUUUCCCUUUAUCUUCUUUUUCAUUAUUUUCUGUUUAAUAUUUUUCCUUUUUGUUCCUUCUUUUCCUUGUUUUUCCUUUUUCUCACAGAAAAUGGCCCUGGUGGGCCACCAUGAUUAUUUAUAGAUUAUGUGAAGAUACACAACAUAUCA